rnacentral:rRNA from 1 species
AGUGAACGCUGGCGGUAGGCCUAACACAUGCAAGUCGAACGGCAGCACAGUAAGAGCUUGCUCUUACGGGUGGCGAGUGGCGGACGGGUGAGGAAUACAUCGGAAUCUACUUUUUCGUGGGGGAUAACGUAGGGAAACUUACGCUAAUACCGCAUACGACCUACGGGUGAAAGCAGGGGAUCUUCGGACCUUGCGCGAUUGAAUGAGCCGAUGUCGGAUUAGCUAGUUGGCGGGGUAAAGGCCCACCAAGGCGACGAUCCGUAGCUGGUCUGAGAGGAUGAUCAGCCACACUGGAACUGAGACACGGUCCAGACUCCUACGGGAGGCCGCAGUGGGGAAUAUGGGACAAUGGGCGCAAGCCUGAUCCAGCCAUACCGCGUGGGUGAAGAAGGCCUUCGGGUUGUAAAGCCCUUUUGUUGGGAAAGAAAAGCAGCAGGUUAAUACCCCGCUGUUCUGACGGUACCCAAAGAAUAAGCACCGGCUAACUUCGUG